UUGCAAUUAGCUAAGUUGGUUAGAGUUUGGUGCUGGCAACACCAAGGUUGCAGGUUUGAUAUGGGACAGCUGCAUAUUCCUGCAUUGCAGG